GGUUUCCUGGUGUAAUGGUUAUCACUGUGGAUUUUGAUUCCACCGAUCGGGGUUCGAUUCCCCGGGAGACCU